rnacentral:rRNA from 1 species
AGUGAACGCUGGCGGUAGGCCUAACACAUGCAAGUCGAACGGCAGCACAGUAAGAGCUUGCUCUUACGGGUGGCGAGUGGCGGACGGGUGAGGAAUACAUCGGAAUCUACUUUUUCGUGGGGGAUAACGUAGGGAAACUUACGCUAAUACCGCAUACGACCUACGGGUGAAAGCAGGGGAUCUUCGGACCUUGCGCGAUUGAAUGAGCCGAUGUCGGAUUAGCUAGUUGGCGGGGUAAAGGCCCACCAAGGCGACGAUCCGUAGCUGGUCUGAGAGGAUGAUCAGCCACACUGGAACUGAGACACGGUCCAGACUCCUACGGGAGGCAGCAGUGGGGAAUAUUGGACAAAGGGCGCAAGCCUGAUCCAGCCAUACCGCGUGGGUGAAGAAGGCCUUCGAGUUGUAAAGCCCUUUUGUUGGGAAAGAAAAGCAGCAGGUUAAUACCCCGCUGUUCUGACGGUACCCAAAGAAUAAGCACCGGCUAACUUCGUG